rnacentral:rRNA from 1 species
AAUAGAUACCCGGGUAGUCCACCCCGUAAACGUUGGGAACUAGUUGUGGGGUCCUUUCCACGGAUUCCGUGACGCAGCUAACGCAUUAAGUUCCCCGCCUGGGGAGUACGGCCGCAAGGCUAAAACUCAAAGGAAUUGACGGGGACCCGCACAAGCGGCGGAGCAUGCGGAUUAAUUCGAUGCAACGCGAAGAACCUUACCAAGGCUUGACAUACACCGGAAACGGCCAGAGAUGGUCGCCCCGCAAGGUCGGUGUACAGGUGGUGCAUGGUUGUCGUCAGCUCGUGUCGUGAGAUGUUGGGUUAAGUCCCGCAACGAGCGCAACCCUCGUUCUAUGUUGCCAGCACGUAAUGGUGGGAACUCAUGGGAUACUGCCGGGGUCAACUCGGAGGAAGGUGGGGAUGACGUCAAAUCAUCAUGCCCCUUAUGUCUUGGGCUUCACGCAUGCUACAAUGGCCGGUACAAAGGGCUGCAAUACCGUGAGGUGGAGCGAAUACCCAAAAACGCCGGUCCCAGUUCGGAUUGAGGUCUGCAACUCGACCUCAUGAA